CCUACGGGAGGCAGCAGUGAGGAAUAUUGGUCAAUGGACGAGAGUCUGAACCAGCCAAGUAGCGUGAAGGAUGACUGCCCUAUGGGUUGUAAACUUCUUUUAUAAAGGAAUAAAACGAGGCACGUGUGCCUUUUUGCAUGUACUUUAUGAAUAAGGAUCGGCUAACUCCGUGCCAGCAGCCGCGGUAAUACGGAGGAUCCGAGCGUUAUCCGGAUUUAUUGGGUUUAAAGGGAGCGUAGAUGGGUUGUUAAGUCAGUUGUGAAAGUUUGCGGCUCAACCGUAAAAUUGCAAUUGAUACUGGCAGUCGUGAGUACAGUUGAGGUAGGCGGAAUUCGUGGUGUAGCGGUGAAAUGCUUAGAUAUCACGAAGAACCCCGAUUGCGAAGGCAGCUUACUAAACUGUCACUGACAUUGAUGCUCGAAAGUGUGGGUAUCAAACAGGAUUAGAUACCCGAGUAGUC
rnacentral:rRNA from 1 species